rnacentral:misc_RNA from 1 species
ACCAAGAAUAGCUCCUAAAAAUAGACCAUCAGGUUUCAGCGCCAAUCUGCACUGUAUCAUGGCUCCAGGAAGGUCAUUUGUCCAGUGAAGUCCCAAGCAACUGAUUACCAAAUCUAAUGAACUUUCUUUUAUGGGCAGAAACUCUUCAUCACCGACAAUAAAGGAUGUUUCAAUAUUUUUAUUUGCAUCUUCCUUUGCAUCUUCACACAAUUUAAUCAUG